GGCUACAUCACAGGCACCAGCGCCUCCAAUAUUUCCAGCGCCCCCCAGUCUCCCAGCCAAAGAGCACACUGGAGGCUGAGAGGCAGCAUCUACCAGCCCGCUCCCCGCCUCCAGGACAGAGCCUCGGUCUGCAUGGGGGUGACAGGCAUGAGUAGGACUUUGCCAGAAGAAGACUUUCCAGGUACCCAUGGAUUUCCAUGCUGCAGCAAAGGGUCAGUGGAGGUUGCAGAGAUGCGAGAUGACUUAAGUCAACACCAGAUACAAGAGGAACAGGAGCUGGAGGCAGACAUGCUAGAGCAGAAGCCCCAGCUCAAAGUGGACCUGGCUCCAGACCCAGACCCAGAACUGGAGAUCGGACAGGUGCCAGCUUUACUGGAGUCAGAGCUGUACCCAGCCCUCAAGCUUGAAACUGAGCUGGACACAAAAGCCAACUGGAACGAGGAGUCUGACCUCGAAGAGCCCCUGCAGCUGGUGUGCCAGAUAGAGUCCGUCCACUCCAACAUGGCGCCGCCCACGCCGCAGACCUUCAGACCAUGGAGUCUGAAUUCAAACUACGGGAGUUUCACGGAGGAGAACCACGUGUCUGCCUGCCGUCACUCCAUCAGUGCACAGACCUCCAAGCACCUCUUCUGGGCAAACAAGCUCAUCCAGGCCUCAGAGCACAGCCUGCAGCGGGCCAUCAACAUGCAGCUCAACAAUGGCAGCGCAGGCCAGCCCAUCAGUUCCCGGCUCCGGGAGGCCAUCCCCACUGACGCCCUGUGCUCCAAGGAGCAGCUCCAGAGCCCCGAUGCCCGCUCAGCUCCUCCGGCCACAAGCUUCCAGGAGCCAAGCCCCCUCCUGUCCUCAGAUCUCCCACCACCCAUUGGCCUGGCAGAGCUAAUCACCUUUGCAUCUUCCCUGGCCAUGGCCUCCUCCAGCAGGACGGACAUGCCCAGUUUGGAACACAUGAUGAAAGCUCCACCUCAGGAGGCUCUGGAGCCUUCCACAGAGCCCCUCCUGAUCACUGCGGAGGAGCAAAAGCCAGAAAAGCACGCAGAGGCCCUACCAGAGAAACCACGUGAAGCCAGGGCACCACUGAAAUCUUGGAGUCAGGAAGACAAGAACUUCACUCAAUCUUACUUUGACUUCAGCAAGCCCGGGAUCAAGAGGGCCACCAUCGAAGGGCAAAUGCAGCUUCUCCAGCCACCAGCCACGUCCCCUGUGCUGCAGGGAGGCAAGGAAGAGUGAGUGAGGCCAGCCCCACAGCUCCCAUAGAGGGGCUGUGCUAGAACAUAGGGGGGUCCUCACACAGCCGGCUAGGGGUGGGGAACACUGGAAUGAGGACCUGGGAGCAGGAUGCGGUGGGCUGUGACGCCUCCACCUCAGUGACCUCAUAAAGGCUGUUGGAACAAGGUUCCAGUGGACUGAGGUGCAGAGCCAAGGCAAGGGCUGGAGGAAGCCUGGGGACCAAGGAGGCUCAGUGCCGCCAGGAAAAGAGAAACAGAAUCCAUUAUUGGUGAAAAUCCAUUUUAAGCUGUCAGCCCCCACAACCCCAGAGAAAUGACUA